rnacentral:rRNA from 1 species
GGGGAAUAUUGGGCAAUGGACGCAAGUCUGACCCAGCAACGCCGCGUGAAGGAAGAAGGCUUUCGGGUUGUAAACUUCUUUUAAGGGGGAAGAGUAGAAGACGGUACCCCUUGAAUAAGCCACGGCUAACUACGUGCCAGCAGCCGCGGUAAUACGUAGGUGGCAAGCGUUGUCCGGAUUUACUGGGUGUAAAGGGCGUGUAGCCGGGACAACAAGUCAGAUGUGAAAUUCCAGGGCUCAACCCUGGAACUGCAUUUGAAACUGUAGUUCUUGAGUGAUGGAGAGGCAGGCGGAAUUCCGAGUGUAGCGGUGAAAUGCGUAGAUAUUCGGAGGAACACCAGUGGCGAAGGCGGAUUACUGGACGACAACUGACGGUGAGGCGCGAAAGCGUGGGGAGCAAACA